rnacentral:lncRNA from 1 species
AGGAAAAGCGUUGGUUGACCAGUAUGAUCCGGAUGAGAAUAUUACUGAACUGGCAGAUGAUGACAUUGAUUGCACAGUUGGAGAUCCAAAUCAUGAUAUGGGAUACGAUAAUGACGAUGAAGAUGCAGAGGUGGAAGCAGAAGAAGAGUUUUUGCCGCCUAUUAUUUCUCAGACAAAGGGCCGCAAAAAACAAUCUAGAUUCAAGAGUGCACUCGAGAAAAUCAAUCCUUCUAAGCCUCAUCGAAAAUGUGCAAUUUGUGGCUUUGAAAUCGACCACGAUAAGCGAAAUCACUAUCGAGUGCUAGGGAUUCCUGAGCCAAAAAAU